rnacentral:tRNA from 1 species
AGGGCUGUGGUGUAGCUUGGUUAGCAUCCGAGCCUUGGGAGCUCGUGACGCCGGUUCGAAUCCGGCCAGCCCCA